AUGGCGGACCUGAGCAGGCGCGCGGGCCACCGCGGCCUGACGCUGGUGGUGCCGGCGGGGCGGUGGCUCACGGGGCCCUUCAACCUCACCAGCCACUUCACCCUCUUCCUCCACCGCGGCGCUGAGAUCCUCGCAUCCCAGGUGCGCCCCUCUUCUUCAGUUACCCAUGGGAUUAAUUAG
rnacentral:rRNA from 1 species